GCCUGGGUGGCUCAGUCAGUUGAGCGUCCGACUUCGGCUCAGGUCAUGAUCUCCCUGUUUGUGGGUUUGUGGGUUCAAGCCCCGCCCCGGCU
rnacentral:tRNA from 1 species